rnacentral:rRNA from 1 species
AGCGAACGCUGGCGGCAGGCCUAACACAUGCAAGUCGAACGAACCUUUCGGGGUUAGUGGCGGACGGGUGAGUAACACGUGGGAACGUGCCUUUAGGUUCGGAAUAACUCAGGGAAACUUGUGCUAAUACCGAAUGUGCCCUUAGGGGGAAAGAUUAAUCGCCUUUAGAGCGGCCCGCGUCUGAUUAGCUAGUUGGUUGAGGUAAUGGCUCACCAAGGCGAGGAUCAGUAGCUGGUCUGAGAGGAUGAUCAGCCACAUUGGGACUGAGACACGGCCCAAACUCCUACGGGAGGCAGCAGUGGGGAAUCUUGCGCAAUGGGCGAAAGCCUGACGCAGCCAUGCCGCGUGAAUGAUGAAGGUCUUAGGAUUGUAAAAUUCUUUCACCGGGGACGAUAAUGACGGUACCCGGAGAAGAAGCCCCGGCUAACUUCGUG